rnacentral:rRNA from 1 species
CUUGCGCGCUUACCAUGCAGUCGAACGAUGAAGCCCUUCGGGGUGGAUUAGUGGCGAACGGGUGAGUAACACGUGGGCAAUCUGCCCUUCACUCUGGGACAAGCCCUGGAAACGGGGUCUAAUACCGGAUACGACUGCGGGAGGCAUCUCCUGCGGUGGAAAGCUCCGGCGGUGAAGGAUGAGCCCGCGGCCUAUCAGCUUGUUGGUGGGGUAAUGGCCUACCAAGGCGACGACGGGUAGCCGGCCUGAGAGGGCGACCGGCCACACUGGGACUGAGACACGGCCCAGACUCCUACGGGAGGCAGCAGUGGGGAAUAUUGCACAAUGGGCGAAAGCCUGAUGCAGCGACGCCGCGUGAGGGAUGACGGCCUUCGGGUUGUAAACCUCUUUCAGCAGGGAAGAAGCGAAAGUGACGGUACCUGCAGAAGAAGCGCCGGCUAACUACGUGCCAGCAGCCGCGGUAAUACGUAGGGCGCAAGCGUUGUCCGGAAUUAUUGGGCGUAAAGAGCUCGUAGGCGGCUUGUCGCGUCGGAUGUGAAAGCCCGGGGCUUAACCCCGGGUCUGCAUUCGAUACGGGCAGGCUAGAGUGUGGUAGGGGAGAUCGGAAUUCCUGGUGUAGCGGUGAAAUGCGCAGAUAUCAGGAGGAACACCGGUGGCGAAGGCGGAUCUCUGGGCCAUUACUGACGCUGAGGAGCGAAAGCGUGGGGAGCGAACAGGAUUAGAUACCCUGGUAGUCCACGCCGUAAACGUUGGGAACUAGGUGUUGGCGACAUUCCACGUCGUCGGUGCCGCAGCUAACGCAUUAAGUUCCCCGCCUGGGGGAGUACGGCCGCAAGGCUA